rnacentral:rRNA from 1 species
GACAGAGGGGGCAAGCGUUGCUCGGAAUUACUGGGCGUAAAGGGCGCGUAGGCGGGAUGGUAAGUCGGUCGUGAAAUCCCUCGGCUCAACCGAGGAACGUCGAUCGAUACUACCGUUCUUGAGGAUUGCAGAGGAGACUGGAAUUCCCGGUGUAGAGGUGAAAUUCGUAGAUAUCAGGAGGAACACCGGUGGCGAAGGCGGCCAUCUGGACGACAACUGACGCUGAGAUGCGAAAGCGUGGGGAGCAAACAGG